GACCACAUUGCAUUGAAAUACUGGUUUCUGUAUGAUCACCAAAGUUAAGCAACAUUGAGGCUGCUCAGUACUUCAGUGGGUGACUGCUAGGGAAUACCAGGUGU